GGGAAUGACCCUGAAGGGGAACGUAGACAGUCUGACACAUCUACAACUGAAGUGACAUGUUGAUGCUGCCGUUAAGAUAAGCCUGGAUAAGCAAGGUUCGGUAGUUUGGUCUCCGAUGAGGGUGUCCAGACCACGCUGGACUCCUUCAAAGCCUAGAACCCUGAUGCCUGGCCGAAGGACCAAGCCAGUCUACUGACUUUUGGAAAUGAGAGCAUUGCAGAGCUGGCAAGGCACGACAGUAGCUGGUUGUGAUAUUCCUGCCAUUAUGGAAGAAUGGCAAGGUCUCAAAAUACUCAUUAGCGAGAACUUAAGUGACAAGAGCUACACCGACCUCUGGGAGCUUCUUCUUACAAAAGACCCCUACAAGAGAGACUACAAAAACAUACUGGAAUUGGUUUGGAUCACGUUGGUGCUGCCCAUCUCUGAAGCCCAAUGUGAGAGGGGGUUUUCGGCCAGAAUUCGACCAGAAACAGCCUGUCGGUGUCCACGACAGAAGACCUGAUGCAGAUCAGCCUGGAGGGGCCUCCGCUGGAGAGUUAUGAUUCAAGUGCAGCUGUAGAACGAUGGCUUAGCUCCAAGCGGGCCAGGCAGCGACCAGAUAAUGUAGACUGCUGGACAACGGACAUUCUUGGCGUUUAAAUGGACUUACCAAGCAUGGUAGCACAGUGCUACUUGGAGAAAAGGUAAGCGUUGAGCCCUGUGAACGGAGGAAAUUCGACACCAGCGUUGUAACAGCCAUGUGGAUCCAACACAGCCAAGCCAAACAAUGCUGCCGACGCGGAACUCAGGCUCCAGGAAGAAGUAGGAGGACGCACAUCCGAGCUGGGUAGCCCUCCCCCAGGUAUAGCUUUGCAUGGCACUGCCCAGUAAUCAAGGUGGAAUAGAAUGAUUGCUCCAACGAUUGCUCCCAGCUCAGCGGCAUUCAGUGGGCAGGGAGCAAAGGAGGGAGCCUACACUGCCAUUCACACUGGUCCAAUACACACAAAAACAACAUGAGUGGAGACGAGCUGUGCCAUCCUACCACAUAAUGUUACAACCAAGACAGUCAAACGCAACCCCAGAGUUUUAAAACUCAACCGGAGUCAGUGAUGACUGAUGAGUUUUAGAAUAAGGUUACAGUGCUAAUGUUAGAUAGUAGCGUUAACGUAACUAGUAAGUGGAAAUGCACAAGGAAGAUAACGUUAAUGUUUCAGAGGCUACACUACAGUAGGCUAACGUUAGCCAUUAGCAACUGGAUGCUGUGUUGUCAUAAUGUUAUGAACUGUACUGAACAUACUUUAUUUGUCAUUUUUAUGCGCAGCACAAAAACGAAAUGACAUUUUGUAUUCACCUUAUUUUUCACAGAAACAUGGAGGCAAAACAGAACGCAUCCAGCUUCCGUUUUUUUUGUGCGACACUUCCGGUCCAGCACUCUUGACCGCUGUGUAAAUGGGAAUCGCCUUGUUGAGUUUAGCUAUAUAUAUAUAUAUAUAUAUCACAUUUGUCACGUCACUAUAUCACCGUUUAGACUAAUCUGAUGUUUGUGAAGUCUAUAAACACAAUGAUUGAACAAACAUUACUAUUUCUGUGUGCACAUUUUGUAAUUUGUUAUCGUAGAUUAGCUGGGCUAACCGUUAGCUGUUGUAGUUUCAUGUCGUAUCCAACAACGGGAGGCUUUUAACAGAUGACGUCCUGAUGUUAGCUUUGCUGCUGCUGUUAGCUGUCCCAGUCAGCUGCAGCCACUGAGGCUUUCUAGACAUCGUGAUUUCCCAAAACUGAAUAUAUACCACACAUAGCAACACAAAACUGCUUUGCUAGCUCAAUCAUGUUGUAACGGCUGGAUGAUUGAUGCGUACAUGCUGACUCGGGUGCUAUCAGAGCCGAUCCACACAUCACUAUGGCUUAAUAAUCAACUCAGUCAAUAAAAACAACCUGUCUUGUGUUAGGAGUGUAUGUCGCUGACAGAAAGAAAGAAGAAAAGAAAAAAAGAUAGAAAAGCAGCGCACACCUCACAUAUUUAUUUCUCACAGUUGCGCACACGUUUGGCUGGCAUGCAGAAGCACCGUCUGUGUGUCUGUGUGUCGAGGGUGCGAGCUGCAGCUUCAGCUGCUCAGGUAGAGAGGCUGUUUAGCGCUGUGUUUUUUCGCUGAUUCGGUUCUGCAGGUUCUCUGCUGGUACACUGGAGACGGGGAUCAAGCAGUUUGUCUCACUCGGGAUAAAUUGUGCUUUUUUGGUUCAUAGUUUUUGAUUGACGUGCGAUUUAUUCGCGUUUAGGGGGAAUUAUUUUUACCGGCAAUUACCGGAUAACGGAAACAUGGGCACAGUUAUCUAUAUAAAAUACACAGACUAACUAACUAACUAACUGAUUGACUAACAUAAACAAUUGAAAAUUGGCUUGUACCGUUAGCUCCAGUAAGGGAAAGUGAAAUAAUCUCUCUGUAAGUACAGAUAAGGAAAUGAUUAUUGAUCCCAGGAGGAGGAAAAGGGAGCACAUGCCACUACACAUAGGUGAGACAGAGGUAGAGAGGGUGAAAAUGUAUAAAUUUCUUGGCACCCACAUCAGCGAGGACAUCACCUGGUCUCACAACAUUAAGGAAUCCCAGCAGUGACUGUACUUCUUAAGAAAGCUGAGGAAAUUUGGCAUGCCAACCAACAUCCUCAGUAUCUUUUACAGAUGUAUAGUCGAGAGUGUCCUCACCAGCUCAAUCACAGUUUGGUAUGGAAACUGUACUGCUCAGGACAGGAAGGCUCUCCAGCAUGUGAUAAAAACAGCACAACUCAUUUCAGGAGCAGCCUUUCCUACCAUCCAGGACAUUUACAACAGCAGGGUCAUCAGGAGGGCCCACAACAAGGGCAGUGCAAACCCCAACCACAGUCUUUUCACACUUCUGCCAUCAGGCAGACUCUACAGGAGUGUGAAAUCCAGGACAAGACUGAUCAACAGCUCCUACCCACAGGCCAUCAGGCUGCUGAAUAGCAGCAUGAA